UGGAUCAUUCGAAUUAAAAUAUUGAAGUAAUUCUAACUAUUGGGAGAACUUAUGCGUAAUUAUGAGCGCUGCCUAUUCAACCAAUCGCGACGGGAACUGCUUAACAGCUUCACUUCACGGUUCAAAUACACAAGUUUCAUUUAUUUCACACUACAAUCGGGUAUGGUAUAAAAACGACUUGCAGUGAAAUUUAAAAUCAGUAUUUCUAGAGUCUGGCAUUCAGUCUCAGCCAGUGAACUGGUACCGGAAGGCAAAUGCACGUUUGUACUCAUUAGCAUGGUUAUUGUAUAAUCCCAUCGCUAAUUACACUCAAUGUCCUCUCUACAUAUUCAAAUUAUUUGUGGCACCUAAACUUUUAUAUCAUGAUCAACUUAACACUAUCGUUACAUUCCGUGAUGCUUCCGUAGAACGGCGAAAGCUGAGAUUUAAAACUAUCAGUAGCUCAAGGUCUCAAACGGGUCAUACGCAUGCGCAAAACCUCAACAUCGAAGCAAUCAUGGACAGCUCUUUCGGCUGUGUCGUGAUCACUUUCAGUACUUAUGCAAUCAUCAGCACGGCUGGUGUAGCAGAAUGGGUGCCCAACUCACCUUUCAGUCAGUCACUGAUUCCCUGUCACUUCCAUUCCCUGAGGGGUCAACAAUAGUAGCAGUGCAUACAGUUUUCAGGAUAAGCUGUGUAGUCAUGAAGCGAUUCGUCAUCGUUUAACGCUUAUUCUAGUUCGUCCAGUUCCCGAACUUAAGACCUCGGCGAUAGAAAUAAUUCACAAUUCUGCGGGACGUAAAUGAACCCACGCACUGUUCUAAAAGAGUAGGGCACGGAGUUCCCGGUGUUGUGGUCUGUCAAGUUGUCGGUUUAAGGCUUGCUGAGAUAUCCUGUCAAGUGACUCGAAUGGAAGCCCUCAACCGUCACACAGUCCUGCAGAUACCAUAAGAUUAGAAAGUCCUCAGACUGGAGUUCUUUUUUCACAAAAUGCCUAUGACCAGUAUUGUAAUUUCAGUACUACCGGAUCUUUCGACUGCACAGCAAGUGAAUUCAUGUAAUAAAUUUCAAGACGACCGACUGUCCCUACAGAUUAACUACAUGAAGGCAGAAUUCUGACCAAAGGAAGGGUCGUAAUAAUUCUUCUCACGUUUCAAAAAUAACUUGAAAAUGACUUUUAGGUAUUGAAGACGACACACCCUAGCGAUAAACCCAGGAUGAGAGCACGUGCAGAAAUUUGCG